rnacentral:rRNA from 1 species
GACAGAGGGUGCAAACGUUGUUCGGAAUUACUGGGCGUAAAGCGUGUGUAGGCGGUCUCGUAAGUCGGGUGUGAAAGCCCUGGGCUCAACCCAGGAAGUGCACUCGAAACUGCGAGGCUAGAGUACUGGAGAGGUUGGUGGAAUUCUCGGUGUAGAGGUGAAAUUCGUAGAUAUCGAGAGGAACACCGGUGGCGAAGGCGGGUCUCUGGGCCGUAACUGACGCUGAGGAGCGAAAGCAUGGGGAGCGAACAGG